AAAAAAAAAAAAAUCUUUUCCCCAGCCCUAGCUAGUUCAGCUCAGUGGAUAGAGCAUCAGCCUGCAGACUGAAGGGUCCCAGGUUCGAUUUUGGUGAAGGACAUCUACCUUGGUUUCAGGCGCAUCACCAGUAGGGAGCGUGCAGGAGGCAGCUGAUCGAUGUUUCUCUCUCAUUGAUGUUUCUAACUCUCUAUCCUUCUCCCUUCCUCUCUGUAAAAAAUCAAUUAUAUUUU